GACGAACGCUGGCGGCGUGCUUAACACAUGCAAGUCGAACGGAAAGGCCCUGCUUUUGUGGGGUGCUCGAGUGGCGAACGGGUGAGUAACACGUGAGUAACCUGCCCUUGACUUUGGGAUAACUUCAGGAAACUGGGGCUAAUACCGGAUAGGAGCUCCUGCUGCAUGGUGGGGGUUGGAAAGUUUCGGCGGUUGGGGAUGGACUCGCAGCUUGUCAGCUUGUUGGUGGGGUAGUGGCUUACCAAGGCUUUGACGGGUAGCCGGCCUGAGAGGGUGACCGGCCACAUUGGGACUGAGAUACGGCCCAGACUCCUACGGGAGGCAGCAGUGGGGAAUAUUGCACAAUGGGCGGAAGCCUGAUGCAGCAACGCCGCGUGCGGGAUGACGGCCUUCGGGUUGUAAACCGCUUUCGCCUGUGACGAAGCGUGAGUGACGGUAAUGGGUAAAGAAGCACCGGCUAACUACGUG
rnacentral:rRNA from 1 species